UACAGAGGGUGCAAGCGUUAAUCGGAAUUACUGGGCGUAAAGCGUGCGUAGUCGGUUAUCUAAGUCAGGUGUGAAAUCCCCGGGCUCAACCUGGGAAUUGCAUUUGAUACUGGAUAGCUAGAGUUCGGCAGAGGGAAGUGGAAUUCCAGGUGUAGCGGUGAAAUGCGUAGAUAUCUGGAGGAACACCGGUGGCGAAGGCGACAUCCUGGACCGGUAUUGACGCUGAGGCGCGAAAGCCAGGGGAGCAAACGGG
rnacentral:rRNA from 1 species